CCUACGGGAGGCAGCAGUGGGGAAUAUUGCACAAUGGGCGAAAGCCUGAUGCAGCGACGCCGCGUGAGUGAAGAAGUAUUUCGGUACGUAAAGCUCUAUCAGCAAGGAAGAAAAUGACGGUACUUGACUAAGAAGCCCCGGCUAACUACGUGCCAGCAGCCGCGGUAAU
rnacentral:rRNA from 2 species